rnacentral:rRNA from 1 species
AGAGUUUGAUCCUGGCUCAGGACGAACGCUGGCGGCGUGCCUAAUACAUGCAAGUCGAACGCUUCUUUUCUACCGAGUGCUUGCACUCACUUGAAAAGAGGAGUGGCGGACGGGUGAGUAACACGUGGGUAACCUACCCAUCAGAGGGGGAUAACACUUGGAAACAGGUGCUAGUACCGCAUAAUAGUCGACAUCGCAUGGUGUUGAUUUGAAAGACGCUUUCGGGUGUCACUGAUGGAUGGACCCGCGGUGCAUUAGCUAGUUGGUGAGGUAACGGCUCACCAAGGCCAUGAUGCAUAGCCGACCUGAGAGGGUGAUCGGCCACACUGGGACUGAGACACGGCCCAGACUCCUACGGGAGGCAGCAGUAGGGAAUCUUCGGCAAUGGACGAAAGUCUGACCGAGCAACGCCGCGUGAGUGAAGAAGGUUUUCGGAUCGUAAAACUCUGUUGUUAGAGAAGAACAAGUAGGAGAGUAACUGCUCUUACCUUGACGGUAUCUAACCAGAAAGCCACGGCUAACUACGUGCCAGCAGCCGCGGUAAUACGUAGGUGGGCAAGCGUUGUCCGGAUUUAUUGGGCGUAAAGCGAGCGCAGCGGUUUCUUAAGUCUGAUGUGAAAGCCCCCGGGCUCAACCGGGGGAGGGUCAUUGGAAACUGGGAGACUUGAGUGCAGAGAGGAGAGUGGAAUUCCAUGUGUAGCGGUGAAAUGCGUAGAUAUAUGGAGGAACACAGUGGCGAAGCGACUUCUUCUGGUCUGUAACUGACGCUGAGCUUCGAAAGCGUGGGG